rnacentral:rRNA from 1 species
UACGAAAGGUGCAAACGUUGCUCGGAAUUAUUGGGCGUAAAGCGCACGUAGGCGGCUUUGCAAGUCGGAUGUGAAAUCCCUCGGCUUAACCAAGGAAGUGCAUCCGAAACUGCAGAGCUUGAGUACUUAAGAGGAUCGCGGAAUUCCCGGUGUAGAGGUGAAAUUCGUAGAUAUCGGGAGGAACACCAGUGGCGAAGGCGGCGAUCUGGGAAGAUACUGACGCUGAGGUGCGAAAGCGUGGGGAGCAAACAGG